rnacentral:lncRNA from 1 species
ACAAGACCAGAGCAGAAGAAUUAUACUAGUGAAAUUUUUGAACAAAGAGCACAAUCCAUCGAAGUUAUGAGUGGCUGUUGUUCAUAACAUCUCUG